GUAAGUUUACUUUCAGCAUACUGUUACCAAUAUCAGAUCUUCAAAGGAAAAAAAAAAAAGAAGGAGGAGGAGGAGAAGAAUGAGAAAAAGGAAAAGAAACAGGAAAUUAUAUUAAGAAUGAAACUGUCAAAAUAGCAAAUGAUUCUAAACUUUCUAAGAUUACAAAAAGAGAAUAAAAUAAGAAGCAGAGUAAAAAAAAAAGAAAGCAUAGUCAAAAAGGCAGAAUACAAGUUAAAUGCGGGUAAAUGCAAGGUAAUUCGUUAAGAAAUAAAUAUUCAAAAUAUUAUGAACAAAACAUAAGUUUUUGAAAUUUAUUUAUAUCCCAAGA
rnacentral:lncRNA from 10 species